CCAGGCUGAGCCCCCUCAGCUGCUCCUCACCCACCUUGUGCUCCAGACCUUCCCCAGCUCCAUUCCUUCCUCUGGACCUUCUUGCAGUGAGGAGCCCUCAGCAAAGGCAGGAUUUGAGGCGCCGCAGCCAGGGAGAAGAAACAGAAAACUGUGCUCCUCUUCUCUUUGGAGAUUAUCUUCUGUCCCAACUGCAGAAGCGUAGGCAUGAAUGAAGGAACCAGGCAUGGAUUUAACCAUUUCCCUGGAAGGAGCUUUGUAAAUAGUAUUAGCAGGUAGAAAAUGAUGGAUGUGACUCCUUAUCCACAAAAUCUCACUGCGAAGUGGAAGCACCACAUACUGACCUGUAGAAGGGAAACCAGGAAAAGGGGGACAAGACAGGUCUUUAUUUAGAUUCAGUUCUUUGUUCUUUUCCCUUUUUCCCCACCAUUUUACUCACUCAACAGCUUAGAUCUAAACAAACUAUCAAUACACCCCACUGUGUUACACCAGGGACACAUUUGACCCAUUUAAGUGCUCCCGCUCUCUUUUUGGUACCUGCUCCAGUGUAAGCUAUUAAAAAAAGUAGCUUCAUUAAAGCAAAAGGUAUUAGAAAAGGUGCCUGUGUGUAAAAUAACUAGUUGGGAGCUAAUGGGAUCUUUCAGGAGACUUGACUGUACCAGUGAUAAUUGAAACAAAGAGACCUCAGUGAUCUAAACUAAUUCAGAGGAGCUGUAUUCCUGUUUUUUAUUGCACAGGCAGUAGUUCAGCACUCUGCAGCUCCCCACUGGCAUGAAGAGACACUUACAGCUGUUCUCCUCCCCUGAUGCCAGCCCUCUGUGGAGCUAAUGGGGGGCUCCCAAGGCCUGCUGAAGUGCUCCAGGGCCCUGACUGCACCAGCCAGAGGACUCACCAUAUGCCGGGGGAAUUUCACCUCUAUUCAGACUCAAUUCAGGCCCAGCUCCCAAGGUGAAAUUCCAUUUAGGUCGGUGCAUUCUGGCACUAACAAUUAGAGAGAUGUGGUGGAGGCUCUCUGUUCUCUCUGCUGGGCUGGUGUCUGCUGGGUGCAGCCAGGCACGCGCUGCCUUCACCCCUGCCGGGGUGACCCCAUUGCAGCAGGGCAAGGAAAUUGAGAUCCAAAUGGGGAAAACUUUGCUGCAAAUAAAAAUAAAUGAAAACACAAGAAAAAACAAGGACUUCUUGUGCUGAUUUUCUCUGCUGCUGCUCUUAGCAGAACAAGGAGGAAAGGAGUAUAGUGUAAGAUUUUCUAAGCCCUAUCAGCACAGCAAAUUUCAUUAUUCUUCAAGUUUCUUUAUUCUUAGAAAACUCCUUAUGUGUGUAAUUACAGCUGUUUCUCUGGUGCACUUUUGGCAGAUUGCAUUGGAGAAAAUUCUAUUUUAAUGUGGGGCCAAGGGAAAU